rnacentral:misc_RNA from 1 species
AUUCCGCUUAACAGUUCACACUUCACUGGCUGCGGCUCACGCGUAGUGUUCACUCAAAAACCCUAGCUGCCUAGCUCCGCCCACAAAAACCCUUAUAAAUCAAUGCCCUUCAAAAACCUCUCUUAUUCCGCCUCUUUUACUCUCAAAUUUCUCUAUCCACUGCAUUCUUAGAAUCCCUAGCUUUCUAUCUCUUACGUUCUGUCAUCCUCCAUGGAAUUCUGGGGUGUUGAAGUCAAGGCGGGGGAGCCUCUCAAAGUAACACCUGAUCUUGACAGAAUCAUACAUCUCUCUCAGGCGGCUCUAGGCGAGUCAAAGAAAGAAAAAGGAAAUGAAUCAGUGCCUCUUUUUCUAAAGAUUGAUGAUAAGAAGAUUGUACUGGGGACUCUUUCUCCUGAAAACAUCCCUCAGUUGUCUUUUGAUUUGGUUUUUGAAAGAGAGGUUGAGCUAUCUCACAACUGGAAAAGUGGGAGUGUUUACUUCUGUGGUUAUCAAACUCCUUUGCCAGAAGAAGAAGAAUAUCCUGCACUAGUUGCAAAUUUUCUCUUUUUCCCCCUUGUUUUGCUUGUGCCUCUCCUUCCAUCAAUUAUGUGUACUAGAAAUUUAGUCCGUUCAUUGUGGUUUUACACUUUCACUUAAGCACCCUGAACUUUUUAAAGAUUUAACCCUCAGUUUUAACUUUGUACACAAUCUUGAAGUGUGAAGCCCUGUUGCUAAAAAUAUUUCCUUGCACCUAAUUCCUAAACACUAUUGUCCAUGUUGUAUUUUAUUAUAAAUACAUUAAAGGUAUUCCUGUUGUUUGCAUCUAGAAUUCAUUGUUUCUUUUAUAUUGCGUAUUUAUGUAUUGGAUGAUUGUUUCUUUUAUAUUGCAUAUUUAUGUAUUGGAUGAUUGUUUCUUUUAUAUUGCAUAUUUAUGUUUUGGAUGAGUAUCAUUUGUUGUUUCCUUGACCUUUUGCUUUCUUCUUCUUGUGGCCACUGCUUUUUCUGAUGAGGAUUCAGAAGAUGAAGAACUAUUUCCAUUGAUGAAUGCAGACAAUGGAAAUGUUCAGCCGAUGGUUGAGGACACAAAGCCUGCCAAAGGAAAGUCUAUUGUUGCAAAGACUGAUUCUUCUGCGAAACAAAAGGCUAAGCCUGUAGAGCCAAAAAAAGAAAUCAAAGCUGAGGAUGAAUCUGAUGAUGAUGAAUCUGAUGAGGAUGAUGAGGAAGAUUCUUCUGAUGAGGAGGGUGACUCUGAUGAGGAAAUGUCUGAAGAUUCAGAGGAAGAAGAUGAUUCUGAGAGCGAAGAUGAGGAGACUCCAAAGAAGGUAUUGGUUUAUUACUGUGGUUGAUUUUAUAUGUUUUGAGAUGUGACUUGUAAUUUUGAAGUGCAAUUGCUGUCGUUGUUUUAUGUAAAAGGCUGAGAAAGGCAAGAAGAGGCCCAAUGACUCUGCAACAAAGACUCCUGUGGCCUCAAAGAAGAUAAAAUCAGUUACUCCUCAGAAGACGGGUAUAAUUUCUUAUUCCAUUUUUGGCUCCAUGUCAUGCUUUUGAGAGCCAUCAUGUUGUCUGUCUGGUUUUUUAUUAUUUAGGGCACUAUAUGUAUGCAAACUAUGUAGUAAGUUGGUGUAUGAGUUAAACUAACUUCCAUGUUAUUCAUCAUGAAGUAAAUGCAAUGUUUUCAUGGGCUUCAAUUGGCAUUGAAUUUUUUUGAUUUCUUGGAUCCUCUUUUGCAAGUUUGAUUUUGGAGAAAUGCAUCUGAAUUUGCAUCUUUACUUGAGAGUAAGAUGGCAAAUAUUUUGACCUGUAGUCACCGGAUGUUUAAUUUAUUGAAAAUAUUUGCUUCCAUUUUGACAAUCUACAACUUAAUUGUCCACAUCGUAUGAAUUGGCAUCAUGGUAUUUGCUUUUAGAUGUUCCCUGAUUCAUUUAAUUGGGAUUUUCCACUGAAGGUAUAUAAGAGGCCACGAUGUUUUUAUAGUUUUCAAAAUAAUCCUUUUCCUAUUAUUGACUGUCCUUGAAUUUUUGUAGAGCUGAUCAAAUAAUGAUUCUAUUUUUUAUAUUGGACAGGCCUGAAUAUUUUCUUCAAGUUUUCUCUUUUAUUCAGUUAUGUGGUGCUAGAAUCCUAUUUGUUCUUUGAUGUUGAUGCUGUAUUUUUUUUGUGGAC